rnacentral:rRNA from 1 species
AUCGAACGCUAGCGGGAUGCCUUACACAUGCAAGUCGAACGGAGUGGCGAACGGGUGAGUAAUGUACCGGAACGUGCCCAGUAGCGGGGGAGAACUACGCGAAAGCGUAGCUAAUACCACAUACUAUUGGCGCCGCCGAUAUCCGAUUCGCUGGUUGGUGGGGUAAUGGCUGACAAAGGCGACGAUCCGUAGCCGGUUUGAGAGGACGACCAGCCACACUGGGACGGAGACACGGCCCAGACUCCUACGGGAGGCGGCAGUGGGAAAUUUUGGACAAUGGGGGCAAGCCUGAUCCAGCCAUGCCGCGGGUCUGAGGAAGUCCUUCGGGUGGUAAAGUACUUUUGUCAGGGAGGCGGUACCUGAAGAGUAAGCACCGGCUAACUACGUGCCAGCAGCCGCGGUAAUAC